ensembl:lncRNA
GAAAAGCAUACUGAAGUUUUAAGACACAGAUUCUGGGGACCCUGAGACGGAGGGGCUUAUGCACUGGGGCUGCUCCAGCCGCCCCCUGACCCGGCUCCAUUAUUCCUCCUCUUCUCGUUUGAUCAAGUCUGACAGGCACUGUUUUGUCUCUUAAAUUUGCAUAUCUUUAUUCAUUAUGCACACUGAUGGGCUGAGCUGUCUCGUCACUUUGGAGGAGCGCUCCUGAAUUUGGCAGAUACAUUCUGUCACACUCCAUAAAUAAGUUUCUGAGACAGGUUUGUGUGCUUCACGUUAGGAAAUUAAAGGCAGGGAAGGAGGGCCCUGGUGAUGACUUCCAUGUGGCAGCGCAUGUAAGUCAGGCAAGUCUACACUCAACCAAAGCUGCGUCUUCCAUUCGUUUUUACUGUAUUUCUAACUUCUUUGCCAUGGGCAGCGUCUCUCAAGGCGAAGCAACUAUUCCCUUUCCAGUUUCAAAACCAGCCUCAGAUACUUUAUUUUUUUUUAGCCUCAGAUACUUUAAAUAUCCCCAUUCCGGCUUUAAAAAUCCCCACCCAGUCGAGGAGCCAACUUACUCAAUCUCAAGUAAUUUGAAUCAGAUGGUGAAGUUAAAGGCAGACAGGACCAUGUUUUCAGAUUCUUUUUCAGCGAGAUCUCUCCUGUGACUUGGCUGUAUACAUUUUUUUCAUCAGACAGAUCUUCCUAAACAAACAAAAGAACAACAGCAAUGAAAUGAAAAGGCGGCUGUCUCCUUGGUCUGCUCCCCCAGCGCCCCCGCCAGCCCUCCGUCCCUCCGGUGUUCUUUCCGGGAGGGGGUGGACGUCACUCGCGUCCCUAUGGUCCGCUCCUUUCUCGCACGUGUGCGUGUAUCCACCGACAGCUCGCAGGGUGGGGUUGCACCUUCUAAGCGUGCAGAUGCGCACCUGCGCUGUACGCGCCACCCUGCACUGGUCCCUGCCGUCCAGGUCACGCCUGACGGCCUCCCCCCCCACCCACCCCCCGCCCCUCGUGAAGCCCCGGCUCGUGUCCACGGAUGGCCGUGCAGGGUCACGAUUCAUGGUCACAGCGGUCGCCUCUGAUUGUGCGCUGUUACAAUGAACAUCUUUGGACGUGUCGGGGGGCGGACAGUGUCGGAGACGGUCCGGGGACUUCCAGGGAGACGGCAGCAGGGUGAGGAGCCUGGGGGCCGCCCUCUCACGCUCUCCCCCGCCGUCUGGAGGGAAGCCGGGCCCCACCGUGAGCUCCCUGCGCGGAGGGCCGUUUUUCCCCUGCCUGCUCAGGCCGCUGCGUCCUUAGCGGAAGUGGGACGGCCCCUUGGACUCCGCUGGCGCCUCUGCGGCUCUCACCGCACUCGGGUCACUGGAGCACAAGCGGAGCGCUUUCUCCGGGGCGGGGUCCCUCCCAGGCCCUCGGGGCCGGGCGCUCUCACACCUUCAGGCCCA